AGCUCUAAUUCAACUUCAUGAAGC
rnacentral:snRNA from 1 species